AUUAUACUCCCUCCGUUCCAAAAUAGAUGACUCAACUUUGUAUAAAGUUAGUACAAAGUUGAGUCAUCUAUUUUGGAACGGAGGGAGUACUAU
rfam:Triticum aestivum genome assembly, contig: Triticum_aestivum_CS42_TGACv1_scaffold_272031_3DS